CGCGUGGGAAUCUGCCCUUGGGUGCGGAAUAACUUCCCGAAAGGGAUGCUAAUACCGCAUAAUGUCGCAAGACCAAAGAUUUAUCGCCCAAGGAUGAGCCCGCGUAGGAUUAGCUAGUUGGUGGGGUAAAAGCCUACCAAGGCGACGAUCCUUAGCUGGUCUGAGAGGAUGAUCAGCCACACUGGGACUGAGACACGGCCCAGACUCCUACGGGAGGCAGCAGUGGGGAAUAUUGGACAAUGGGCGAAAGCCUGAUCCAGCAAUGCCGCGUGAGUGAUGAAGGCCUUAGGGUUGUAAAGCUCUUUUACCCGGGAUGAUAAUGACAGUACCGGGAGAAUAAGCUCCGGCUAACUCCGUGCCAGCAGCCGCGGUAAUACGGAGGGAGCUAGCGUUGUUCGGAAUUACUGGGCGUAAAGCGCGCGUAGGCGGUUUUUUAAGUCAGAGGUGAAAGCCCGGGGCUCAACCCCGGAAUUGCCUUUGAAACUGGAAAACUUGAAUCUUGGAGAGGUCAGUGGAAUUCCGAGUGUAGAGGUGAAAUUCGUAGAUAUUCGGAAGAACACCAGUGGCGAAGGCGACUGACUGGACAAGUAUUGA
rnacentral:rRNA from 1 species